rnacentral:tRNA from 1 species
GGUGCAGUAGCUCAGUGGUAGAGCGCUUCCCUCAUGAGGAAGUGGUCGGUGGAUCGUUCCCACCCUGCACCA